rnacentral:rRNA from 1 species
UACGUAGGGUGCGAGCGUUAAUCGGAAUUACUGGGCGUAAAGCGUGCGCAGGCGGUUUUGUAAGGCAGAUGUGAAAUCCCCGGGCUUAACCUGGGAAUGGCAUUUGGGACUGCAAGGCUUGAGUGCGGCAGAGGAGACUGGAAUUCCUGGUGUAGCAGUGAAAUGCGUAGAUAUCAGGAGGAAUACCGAUGGCGAAGGCAUGUCUCUGGGCUGACACUGACGCUCAUGCACGAAAGCGUGGGGAGCAAACAGG